CGUUACUCGGAAUUACUGGGCGUAAAGCGUGCGCAGGCGGUUUUGUAAGCCAGAUGUGAAAGCCCCGGGCUUAACCUGGGAAUGGCAUUUGGGACUGCAAGGCUGGAGUGUGGCAGAGGAGACUGGAAUUCCUGGUGUAGCAGUGAAAUGCGUAGAGAUCAUGAGGAAGACCAGUGGCGAAGGCGGGUCUCUGGACAGUUCCUGACACUGAGGCACGAAGGCCAGGGGAGCAAACGGG
rnacentral:rRNA from 1 species